rnacentral:rRNA from 1 species
UUGGCAUGCGCGCGCUAUAAUGCAGUCGAACGAUAACGAUCGGUGCUUGGACUGGUCGGAGGAGUGGCGAACGGGUGAGUAACACGUGUGUAACCUGCCCAUCACAGGGGGAUAACAUUCGGAAACGAAUGCUAAAACCCCAUAAGUCUUCAAAUCGCAUGGUUUGGAAAUGAAAAGAGGCGCUGCCUCCUUCUGAUGUGGGGAUGCGCGGUGUUAGCUCUUUUGGGAGGUGACACGGCUCCCCAGCGCCGAUACAUAGCCCCGAUGAGAGGGGGAUCGGCGACACUGUGGGUGUGACACGGCCCCCACUCCCCCGGGAGACGCCAAGGGGGGACUCUUCCGCUGUGGACGCGCCUGGGAUAAAACAACGCAUGAUGAGUGCAGAGUUUUUCAAUAGAAAAUCUUCGUUGUAAAAAACGA